CAAAAUAUAGCAUAACAAAUGCAUCUCACUUACACUGAGAAGAAUGGUCCACAACCUAUUUUGA
rnacentral:tRNA from 1 species